rnacentral:rRNA from 1 species
ACGUUCGACACCUACUGGAGGCAGCAGUUGGGAAUAUUGGACAAUGGAGGAAACUCUGAUCCAGUGACGCCGCGUGAAGGAAGAAGGUCUUCGGAUUGUAAACUUAUUUUGUCAGGGAAGAAAAAUGACUGUACCUGAAGAAAAAGCACCGGCUAACUACGUGCCUGCAGCCGCGGUAAUCUGAGCGGGCUGGCAAGGC